rnacentral:misc_RNA from 1 species
GGAGGUUCAGUCCUCCCAGGCCCACCACUUCGCAAUCCGCAAGGAUUGUCGGAUCUCCUCGAUAUCCGUCGGGAAACACUAUCAGGGGCCGUAGCUCAGCUGGGAGAGCGCCUGCUUUGCAAGCAGGAUGUCGUCGGUUCGAUCCCGUCCGGCUCCACCAACCAUCUUCUGUGAAGGUGGGGCGUGUCGAGUAGAGGAUGAUCGCCCGCGGUCAGUCAUUCGAAAAAGAGUUUGCGGCGCGCUUCGUGCUCUCCGCCUGUUCUGUUUGACAUCGUAAAGAGAAGAUUUGUUCGAACUUCACGGCUGCAAGGCUGUGAUUUGUCGCAAGGACGCUCAAUCCCUUGCCUAUGAUGGGUUUGCCUAACCGCGCCCUCGAACGGAUCUCGAGAAGCUGGUCUUUUUGUGCCAAUUCCAUUGAAGCAAGCCCCGCACAGGGUUUUGCUCAGGCGGCGAUCCUUCGGAUCGCGCAGAUGGGUAUUGGCAAUGAGAACGAUCAAGUGUCUUAAGGGCAAUUGGUGGAUGCCUUGGCAUGCACAGGCGAUGAAGGACGUGAUACGCUGCGAUAAGCUACGGGGAGGUGCGAAUACCCUUUGAUCCGUAGAUCUCCGAU